CUGCUGCCUCCCGUAGGAGUAUGAACCGUGUCUCAGUUCCAUUGUGGCCGAUCAGUCUCUCAACUCGGCUAUGCAUCAUCGCCUUGGUAAGCCGUUACCUUACCAACUAGCUAAUGCACCGCAGGUCCAUCCCAGAGUGAUAGCCAAAGCCAUCUUUCAAACAAAAGCCAUGUGGCUUUUGUUGUUAUGCGGUAUUAGCAUCUGUUUCCAAAUGUUACUCCCCCGCUCCAGGGCAGGUUACCUACG
rnacentral:rRNA from 1 species